UACGGAGGAUCCAAGCGUUAUCCGGAAUCAUUGGGUUUAAAGGGUCCGUAGGCGGUUUUGUAAGUCAGUGGUGAAAGCCCAUCGCUCAACGGUGGAACGGCCAUUGAUACUGCAAGACUUGAAUUAUUAGGAAGUAACUAGAAUAUGUAGUGUAGCGGUGAAAUGCUUAGAGAUUACAUGGAAUACCAAUUGCGAAGGCAGGUUACUACUAAUAUAUUGACGCUGAUGGACGAAAGCGUGGGGAUCAAACAGG
rnacentral:rRNA from 1 species